GAUUGCUCUGAAGGUAGUGAGUUAUUUCUACUUUUGUUCAGUCAGAACUCUUUGCUAGUGUUCUUUCCCUUCUUCUCACUACUGCACCUGAGUAGUUUUAA
ensembl:misc_RNA Y_RNA Y RNA